GUCUAUGAUCAUACCAUCCUGACUGUGCCCGAUCUCUUCUGAUCUUGGAAGCUAAGCAGAGUUGGGCCUGGUUAGUACUUGGAUGGGAGACAUAUUAGGAAUUCCACUUUUUGCUUUCU
rnacentral:rRNA from 1 species